UACGGAGGAGGCAAGCGUUAUCCGGAAUUAUUGGGCGUAAAGCGUCCGCAGGUGGCACUUCAAGUCUGUCGUCAAAGACUGGGGCUUAACCCUGGAAAGGCGGUGGAAACUGAAGCGCUAGAGUGUGGUAGAGGCAGAUGGAAUUCCGGGUGUAGCGGUGGAAUGCGUAGAGAUCCGGAAGAACACCGGUGGCGAAGGCGGCCUGCUGGGCAGUUUGGCUGACACUGAGGCGCGACAGCGUGGGGAGCAAACAGG
rnacentral:rRNA from 1 species